rnacentral:rRNA from 1 species
AACGAACGCUGGCGGCGCGCCUAAUACAUGCAAGUCGAGCGAGAAGACGUAGCAAUACGCUUGUAAAGCGGCGAACGGGUGAGGAAUACAUGGGUAACCUACCCUCGAGUGGGGAAUAACUAGCCGAAAGGUUAGCUAAUACCGCGUACGCUCCUUGGACUUCGGUUCAGGGAGGAAAGCGAUACCGUGGGUAUCGCGCUCUUGGAUGGGCUCAUGUCCUAUCAGCUUGUUGGNGAGGUAACGGCUCACCAAGGCUUCGACGGGUAGCUGGUCUGAGAGGACGAUCAGCCACACUGGCACUGCGACACGGGCCAGACUCCUACGGGAGGCAGCAGUAAGGAAUAUUGCGCAAUGGGCGAAAGCCUGACGCAGCGACGCCGCGUGGGGGA